AUUUUCGAGAGCAAUCCAGUAAGCACGAGAUGUUUGACCCAUAUUUUCUUUGUUAUAAUCUAUUGUUCUUUACCAACAAAAAGUUGACACAUAUUUGUCUUUGUGAAUGACUAAAUCAACAGCUUGAGGUAGAAGAAGGUGGAAGAAUGGCGAUGGGAGGAUGUCAUAGCUGUUGUAUGCGGAGGAACCUUAAUUGAAUAAGAUGGGAUGUGUCCCAUCCCCAAUCUUAAUUUCCAUGUCAUAACUUACUUGAGACAGAUCAAGUCGGCUAGCUUUGCAUUUAAUUUCCAGAUCUUGAAUCGUACCAAGAAACGUGUCUAUUACUCAAUUAUUUAUCAUCAAGAGGAUUGAUUAAUGUGUUGUUCAUGUAGCAGCGUUGGUGUGUGUUCAAUACAGAGAAAAGAGAUCAUCUUGGGUUUGUACUCGAAGCAAGGAACCAGGAUAUCAGAAGACAAUAGAAAAUGAGAUAUGUUAGAGAAGACAAGAUCUUCAAAGUGUGAUCUCUUGGAUUAAAGUCAGCCUUGCAUGGGAAAACCAGAUCUGUGCAAAGCUUAUCAAGUGCAGAAAGCUACAAAAUUCUCCAAGAGCACAGAAUUUUAAGCAACCCCACACCAAUCUGCAGGAGGAAGUCCAAACUUGAUUGCUUGGGAUAGAAUAAGGUGCAGUGUAUCCAACGCAUGGCUUAUUUAGCUCAGGAAGACAACAGAGUCAUGAUGAACGAGACAACCUCUUCCAUAUCAUGAUCGAAGUCCCCUUUUCCAUCCUAGUGUCGAGAGAUCAUGAGAGGUAGCAAUUGAACUCUUGUUCCUUUUUCUUUGGUCAAGCCACCCAUGAACCCUGAUCUCUAUAGGAUAUGAAGCCCAAGUUGUGUUUCUUUAACUCCUCUUUCUUGGUUCAAGGCUGAGACACUCGAGGCUUUCUUCCCAGAUCGAUCUCAGGCAAGUCCUUGGCGAUCGAGAGCGAGAGGCUGUUGUUUCCUGGAGACUUGGAUGAAUCUUGACGUCUUGACGGGAAAGCUAGCUGUGGUAUGGACAGAGGAGGUAGGAGACAGAGGCGGUUGCGCUCACAAGUGAAUGGCAACAAGGCAUUGGAUUCGAGCUACUUCACUGCGGAAUUCUUCUUGGUGCUCGUCUGCCUCACUGCCUCACUGCUGGUUCUUCCCCUCGUGUUGCCCGCACUGCCUCCUCCCCCUUCCUCGCUGCUGUUUGUGCCGAUAGGUAUACUUCUUGUGCUGCUGGUCUUGGCCUUCAUGCCCUCCGAUGCUCGGGACAUCGCCUCUUCCCACUUGUGAGCAGCUAAAAGCUUUCCAUUAUGGAUCAAACUGUUCAUUUCUUCUUCUACUCCUCGGUUUCAAUGAAGGCACUAUCGCUUCCGGUGGUUGUUUGAGAUAGUUCAUUCCUGAAUCAUUCGGAUGUGGUUUGGCCAUGAGUUGUAAUCUAAGCUAACCAUAACAUUCUUGUGAGGCAUGCGCAAUCAAAGUGACAAAUUCUGAGAGAACUCAUCAGCAAAUCUUACCGUGAUGUGAUGAUUGAUGUUCAUGGCCACUUAAAAAUAAGCUCUAAAAUUUAUUCUUCA